rnacentral:rRNA from 1 species
GACGAACGCUGGCGGCGUGCCUAAUACAUGCAAGUAGAACGCUGAAGGAGGAGCUUGCUCUUCUGGAUGAGUUGCGAACGGGUGAGUAACGCGUAGGUAACCUGCCUGGUAGCGGGGGAUAACUAUUGGAAACGAUAGCUAAUACCGCAUAAUAGUAGAUGUUGCAUGACAUUUGCUUAAAAGGUGCAAUUGCAUCACUACCAGAUGGACCUGCGUUGUAUUAGCUAGUUGGUGAGGUAACGGCUCACCAAGGCGACGAUACAUAGCCGACCUGAGAGGGUGAUCGGCCACACUGGGACUGAGACACGGCCCAGACUCCUACGGGAGGCAGCAGUAGGGAAUCUUCGGCAAUGGACGGAAGUCUGACCGAGCAACGCCGCGUGAGUGAAGAAGGUUUUCGGAUCGUAAAGCUCUGUUGUAAGAGAAGAACGAGUGUGAGAGGGAAAGUUCACAC